AGAACGAACGCUGGCGGCAUGCCUAAUACAUGCAAGUCGAACGAACACUUCGGUGUUAGUGGCGCACGGGUGCGUAACGCGUGGGAAUCUGCCCUUGGGUUCGGAAUAACAGUUGGAAACGACUGCUAAUACCGGAUGAUAUCGAAAGAUCAAAGAUUUAUCGCCCAGGGAUGAGCCCGCGUAGGAUUAGCUAGUUGGUGAGGUAAAGGCUCACCAAGGCGACGAUCCUUAGCUGGUCUGAGAGGAUGAUCAGCCACACUGGGACUGAGACACGGCCCAGACUCCGUACGGGAGCAGCAGUAGGGAAUAUGGACAA
rnacentral:rRNA from 1 species